rnacentral:rRNA from 1 species
UACGUAGGAGGCGAGCGUUGUCCGGAGUUACUGGGCGUAAAGGGUGCGCAGGCGGCCGAGUGUGUGAGGCGUGAAAGCCCGGGGCUUAACCCCGGAAUGCACCUCAAACUACACGGCUAGAGCAUUGGAGAGGGUAGCAGAAUUCAUGGUGUAGCAGUGAAAUGCGUAGAUAUCAUGAGGAAUACCAGAGGCGAAGGCGGCUACCUGGACAAUUGCUGACGCUCAGGCACGAAAGCGUGGGGAGCAAAAGGG